rnacentral:rRNA from 1 species
CGGGACAGGCAACAAGAAGACCGAUCAUGGCUGGAAUAGCACGCUGGCGGUCACCUACAUACGCGAGUCGGCGGCUGCGCCAGACAAGUACGAAAGAGAAAUGGCGAACGGUGGAGUAAUGUGUCUGAACGAUCGCAGUAGUGAGGUAACUGCUGUGACGUAACCAGCCGCAACCACCAUCGCUCGGAAAUGGACCUUCGGCCUCGCCACUGUAAGUAGCCGAUAUCAGGUAACAGUUAAGUAGAUAACAGCCUCCCACCAAAGCGACGAUCAUCGUGGUUGGAAACCAGCCACAGGAUGAGGCCACGUUGAACCUGAGAGGAAGGCGUGGUGGAAUUUGGACAAUGAUGGAACUGAUCAGCCAUCGCGUGUUGGUGCGAUGAAGCGCUGGGUUUCGUAAGCCUUUGGCGGAAAGAAACAAUCGCACCAGAUGUCUUCGUGCAGCUGACCAGCUACCUGCGAACAAGCACCGGCUAACUACGUGCCAGCAGCCGCGGUAAUACGUAGGGGUGCAAGCGUUAAUCGGAAUUACUGGGCGUAAAGCGCAUGAGCGGUUCGGAAAGAAAGAUGUGAAAUCCCAGAGCUUAACUGGAACUGCAUUUUUAACUACUGAAGGCUAGAGUGUGUCAGAGGAGGUGGAGAUUCCGCGUGUAGCAGUGAAAUGCGUAGAUAUGCGGAGGAACACCGAUGGCGAAGGCGGCCUCGCGGAUAACACUGACGCUCAUGCGAAAGCGUGAGGCAAACAGGAUUAGAUACCCUGGUAGUCCGCCUAAACGAUGUCAACUAGCUGUUGGGGCCUUCGGGCCUUGGUAGCGCAGCUAACGUGAAGUUGACCGCCUGGGGAGUACCGGUCGCAAGAUUAAAACUCAAAGGAAUUGACGGGGACCUGCACAAGCGGUGGAUGAUGUGCUGCGGACUAAUUCGAUGCAACGCGAAAAACCUUACCUACCCUUGACAUGUCUGGAAUCCCGAAGAGAUUUGGGAGUGCUCGCAAGAGAACCGGAACACAGGUGCUGCAUGGCUGUCGUCAGCUCGUGUCGUGAGAUGUUGGGUUAAGUCCGCAACAGGCGCAACCCUUGUCAUUAGUUGCUACGAAAGGGCACUCUAAUGAGACUGCCGGUGACAAACCGGAGGAAGGUGGGGAUGACGUCAAGUCCUCACAUGGCCCAUAUGGGUAGGGCUUCACACGUCAUACAAUGGUCGGGACAGAGGGUCGCCAACCCGGGGAGCCAAUCCCGAAACCCGAUCGUAGUCCGGAUCGCAGUCUGCAACUCGACUGCGUGAAGUCAGGAUCGCUAGUAAUCGCGGAUCAGCAUGUCGCGGUGAAUGCGUUCCCGGAGUGCUUGUACACACCGCCCCGUCACACCAUGGGAGUGGGUUUUGCAGAAGUAGUUAGCCUAACCGUAAGAGGGCGAUUACCACGGUAGGAUUCAUGACUGGGGUGAAGUCGUAACAAGGUAG